UACAGAGGAUCCAAGCGUUAUCCGGAUUUAUUGGGUUUAAAGGGUGCGUAGGCGGCUUAUUAAGUCAGGGGUGAAAGACGGUGGCUCAACCAUCGCAGUGCCCUUGAUACUGAUGAGCUUGAAUACACUUGAGGUAGGCGGAAUGUGACAAGUAGCGGUGAAAUGCAUAGAUAUGUCACAGAACACCAAUUGCGAAGGCAGCUUACUAAGGUGCAAUUGACGCUGAGGCACGAAAGCGUGGGGAUCAAACAGG
rnacentral:rRNA from 1 species